GACGAACGCUGGCGGCGUGCUUAACACAUGCAAGUCGAACGGUGAAGCUCCAGCUUGCUGGAGUGGAUCAGUGGCGAACGGGUGAGUAACACGUGAGCAACCUGCCCCUGACUCUGGAAUAAGCGCUGGAAACGGCGUCUAAUACUGGAUACGAGAAGGGUCCGCAUGGGUACUUUCUGGAAAGUUUUUCGGUUGGGGAUGGGCUCGCGGCCUAUCAGCUUGUUGGUGAGGUAAUGGCUCACCAAGGCGACGACGGGUAGCCGGCCUGAGAGGGCGACCGGCCACACUGGGACUGAGACACGGCCCAGACUCCUACGGGAGGCAGCAGUGGGGAAUAUUGCACAAUGGGCGAAAGCCUGAUGCAGCGACGCCGCGUGAGGGAUGACGGCCUUCGGGUUGUAAACCUCUUUCAGCAGGGAAGAAGCGAAAGUGACGGUACCUGCAGAAGAAGCACCGGCUAACUACGUG
rnacentral:rRNA from 1 species